UCGGACGACGGCUGCGAUUGAUGUUGAGCUUCUCUGCUCCAGUUUUAACUGUAUAUAUUUAUCAAUGGAACCUGGAGUAGUGGAAUGCUAGUAUCAGUCAUUUGUUUUCUGGAAACCGCAUCUGUCACAGAUCCUUUGCUAGUUUGGAGGUUUAAUGGUUUUAAAAUGUUAAACAGUAGUGACUGUGUGUUUUUUUAAUAGAAAAGUGUAUUACAAUAAGGCUUUAAUGAAAACACAGAAUAAACAAAUGCUUGGAAACACCCAAACUAUCAUUGCUAAAUUUGGCUGAAAUAUAAGGCACAGAGUGAUAAUAAAUUAGGAGGUGAUUGGGAGCCACAAGAGCGGGCUCUUUUAAGAGAGCUGAGCCAAAAGAGUCGAAUCUGUGAAAAGAGCCAGACUUGCCAUCACGAUAAAUAGGCUUCCUAAUCUUAGCUAACGCCACUGGAGAUCCUUCCUACCGGUGGCCAUCAGCCUGUACAAUUCCUCCUCCCUCUAUACACCACACAGAGGACAGAGCCACAUGCCGCUCCCAAGCUGCGGGUUGCCUAAUCUUGCACUAGUUGGAGUAGUCAACACAGUCCUUGAACACGGUAGCUGCACUGUCUGUCUGUCAAAGAGUGUUUGUCAGUGUUUGUUGGAAGUUCAGUUUUGGUUUGGUUUGGUGGCGGUUCUGUAAUAUGGAUGCGAUUGGGUAAAAUAGCAAAGUGUCUAUCUACUGUGCUUAGUGAGUGUAAACAUGAACCAUCCUGUCUUAUCAAUGUCUAAAAAGUGGAUUUUUUCUCCUUUGAUGUGUGUCUGACUUAAUAAUCUCAAAAACAUAUACAUACAAACAGGAGAGUUGUAUGUUCCAUCAAGAUGUGGAACUGCUUUACAGAUGUGUUAUAAUAAAAAUAGUAAAAAAAAAAUUGACUGCAGAAAAUCACCAAAGUUGGCCCAUAUGAUUUUCCAAUCAAAGGGCUCAAACAUCUGAGUCAAAGCUGGCAUGGAAUUGGUCCUCUGGUGCCAGAGUAGCUGAUA